UUACUUUUUACACUUGUGCUUUGAUAAUUUUUUACUUGGAAACCUCAUCUUUUGGUGUUUUUUUUGAGCUAUUUCUCUAGUGUUGCUAUUUGAUUUAAUUUCUGACCUUCAUUUUUGUUUCCCAACCUUUUUUUUUUGUUUGAUAUGAGGGGUUCUGUGACUGAGGUUCUGAGCUGCUGUUGAUGUGCUAUACCUCCUUCAAUUCUCAGCUCUCAAAGGGGAAAACAACUGCAGAGGAUGGGAAAUGCUAUACUGCCACGCCUGGAAACACCCACAGGAAAAUUACCAGUUUUGAGCUUGCUCAACUGCAAGAAAAACUGAAGGAGACAGAAGCAGCCAUGGAAAAAUUAAUCAACAGAGUGGGACCUAAUGGUGAGAGAGCACAGACUGUGACUUCUGACCAAGAGAAACGGUUGCUACAUCAGCUCCGAGAAAUCACCAGGGUCAUGAAAGAAGGAAAAUUCAUUGACAGAUUUUCUCCAGAGAAAGAAGCUGAGGAGGCCCCUUACAUGGAGGACUGGGAAGGUUACCCUGAAGAGACUUACCCAAUUUAUGACCUUUCAGACUGUAUCAAGCGUAGGCAAGAAACAAUCUUGGUGGAUUACCCUGACCCAAAAGAACUUUCUGCUGAAGAAAUAGCUGAAAGAAUGGGAAUGAUAGAAGAGGAAGAAUCAGAUCAUUUGGGUUGGGAAAGUCUGCCCACUGACCCCAGAGCCCAGGAAGAUAAUUCUGUUACCUCGUGUGAUCCAAAGCCAGAAACAUGUUCCUGCUGUUUUCAUGAAGACGAGGAUCCUGCUGUCUUGGCAGAGAAUGCUGGAUUCAGUGCAGAUAGCUACCCUGAGCAAGAGGAAACCACCAAAGAAGAGUGGUCCCAAGACUUUAAAGAUGAAGGGUUGGGCAUCAGCACCGAUAAAGCAUAUACAGGCAGCAUGCUGAGGAAGCGUAACCCCCAGGGUUUAGAGUGAAAACAGCCAGUCUGAAGUAUCCAUUACUCAAGUCCCAAGAUGGGACCACUCAGGGGCAAAGGUCUGACUCUUCCUGGUAGGUGUAACAGAUAGUUCACCUGUGAACGAACAUCAGCUUACAGAUGAUGAGGACUUAAGGUUGCAAGAAUGAAGAUUUCAGACUCCAAGAUCCCUUAUUCUUUGGGCCUUGAGCAGGUUAGUAG
rnacentral:sRNA from 1 species